rnacentral:rRNA from 1 species
GAUUUCUGAUUCGACAAGCUGACCCGUAUCCAAUAUUGGAAAUGUGUGUCUUGCAUUGUCAGUCAUCCUUCCAAGGUACUUUUCUACCCUUAACUGGGCCGGAAAUUGAAACUUGGAACUUUUACUUUGAAAAAAUUAGAGUGUUCAAGGCAGGCUAUUGCGCAUGAAUACAUUAGCAUGGAAUAAUAAUUUAGGACUUUGGUUCUAUUUUGUUGGUUUCUAGGACUAAAGUAAUGAUUGAUAGGGAUAGUUGGGGGUGCUAGUAUUCAGCGGCCAGAGGUGAAAUUCUUGGAUUCGCUGAAGACUAACUUAUGCGAAAGCAUU